GCGGACGGGUGAGGAAUACAUAGGAAUCUACUUGGUAGUGGGGGAUAACGUUGGGAAACGUACGCUAAUACCGCAUACGUCCUACGGGAGAAAGCAGGGGACCUUCGGGCCUUGCGCGAUCGAAUGAGCCGAGGUCGGAUUAGCUAGUUGGCGGGGUAAAGGCUCACCAAGGCGACGAUCCGUAGCUGGUCUGAGAGGAUGAUCAGCCACACUGGAACUGAGACACGGUCCAGACUCCUACGGGAGGCAGCAGUGGGGAAUAUUGGACAAUGGGCGCAAGCCUGAUCCAGCCA
rnacentral:rRNA from 1 species